UACGAAGGGGGCUAGCGUUGCUCGGAAUUACUGGGCGUAAAGGGCGCGUAGGCGGCCCGAUCAGUCAGGCGUGAAAUUCCUGGGCUCAACCUGGGGGCUGCGCUUGAUACGGCCGGGCUAGAGGGCGGAAGAGGCUCGCGGAAUUCCCAGUGUAGAGGUGAAAUUCGUAGAUAUUGGGAAGAACACCGGUGGCGAAGGCGGCGAGCUGGUCCGUUCCUGACGAUGAGGCGCGACAGCGUGGGGAGCAAACAGG
rnacentral:rRNA from 1 species